rnacentral:lncRNA from 1 species
GGAAACUGAAGGCUGCCCAGAGUUAGAAGAAAGUUGCACCAAUCGGAGUAGCUCAAACUCCCACUAGUCCAACAUUUCCCGUGUUCCAAAUAUUGAAGUAGAUGGGAGGAAAAUUCAGAACUUAUGUAAGUCUCUGUUUCUUCUUCUAAUUUUUAAAUUUUCAUAUCUUGAUAUGAAAAUUUAUGUGUUUUUUUAUAGGUUACUAGUUCCACGGUCAUGCUAGAACGUCUCUGUGGUAAAUUAAGCCUCAUCCCAUGAGCGGCAGGCAAUUAUGUCAGAUAAAUUUUCAUAUAGGAUUUAUAGGCACUUUGUAAUCUUCUAAAUUUUGUGUCUUCCUUUUUGUUGGGAACAAAUUUUUGGAGGUCUAUGCUGAUGAAUACAACAUGAAAAUUUAUGUUGAUGCUCAUACAUUACUAGGUACAAGGUCAUGGAAGAACUUCAUUGUGGUUUAUCAAGUCAAAAUCCAUGGGCAGCAAUCACAUUAGGUAUCUUUAUUAGUUGUUAGAGGAAUGCUAUAACAAGUUUGUCAGCUUCAUUCCUUUUCUCUCAUGAUACAUUUUUACUGUUUAACCAGGUUUGUUAUGUUUCACAGAGGAACCACCACUUUUAUUUUGUUUGAAGAACAGAAUCUUCAGCUGUAGACUCAUUACGAAACACUUUCAUGAGUAUUUGGGUACUGAACAUCUUUUCGGGAAACUGUAGUCUACAUAUGAAACAUCAAAAAACUCAAAGCAUAUAGGGUGCUCAAUGUGAAGCUACACACGUCUAUCCUCUGUCUUUGCAUGAACCUAUUUGCCUUUUUAUUCUCCAUGUAAGUUUCUGCAAUUUUAUUUGACGAAUAAAGUCUGAUAUCUACUUUCAUAGGGACUUUGUAUUUAACUUUCUAUGAAAUUGUGAACUGUUAGAAUGUAACCUGUUUUAUUCCCUUUUACUUUCAAUGAUUUACUAUCUCACAGUAUUAAUGUCUGUGCCUCCCCUCUCCCAUCCGGUACGAAAUAAGAAGAAUCUUAGUAUUUGUCAUAUCUAGUCAGGUGAUAUGAUGAAGAUAAUGGAAGUAAUGGAUGGUCGGUGUGUUAUGAAUGGGCCUAGACCAGUAUUGACAAAGCAGCCCAAAGCCGAAUUAAAAGGGCUAUGUGUGGGAUCCGGGUUGAUAAAUAGAGACUUGGGAGAGCAAAAUAGUUUUAUGCAAAUUAUGUGAAGCUUUGGCUUUCUGAUCCUCUCAUCUCCUUUCUAUGGUCUAGAAUCUCAUCCCCUUCUAGUUACCCUCUUCUAUGUUAUCUAUCUAUAAUUAGUGUGUUGUUACUUUGUUGUGGGUAUUAUACAUUGUAACUUGUAUUCCGUAAUAACAAUAUAUAUAUCAGUGUUUGUGUUGAAAAUUGAGUUUGUUACAUUGGUGCUUUCAUCCAGAGGUUUCUCAUGGAGGACCAAAGACUCAAGGCUCUCAUCAAUGAAUCCAUUAAGGAGGCAAAAGAGUCAUUUUCCAAAGAUAUUGCAGACAUUCGCCAUAUGUUACAGGAGGUUACCCGAAAGUUCGUUCCGGCAGGGCCUCACAUUCGAGAUCCAACAAUGGAGGUUGCUCGUCCUCAUCACGGGAAAGGCACUCUUGAAUCCCCCACACUCCGUCAUAGGCCAGCUCCGGUGGAACUAGGACGAUUUCGUGGUGAAAAUCCAGAGGCGUGGAUUUUCCAAGCUGAAUGCUAUUUUGAUUUUUACGGAAUCGUAGAAACGCACAAGCUAACCUUGGCAUCCUUUUAUCUCAACGGUGAAGCUUUGGAAUGGUAUCAAUGGUUGUUUUGCAACAAACAACUGGCUGGCUGGGACCAUUUUGUGGACAAAUUGCUGAUUCGUUUUCGCUCCCGUACUAGGGACAAACAACGCGAGUUCUUACCCAUUCCCAGAAACAAGAAUCAUAGGGCAGUGGAGUACUCUCAGGCGGUUAGUCCAUCGUUGGUUAAUAUUGAGACUUUGGGUCCCAUGUUGGACUCCAAAUAUGACUUGAAGAACAACCCAAACGGCUAUGCCUGCAAGGUGUUCGCUGAAAUGCCCGAUAAGAAAAUUGACAUGGAAGUUGAACAUCCAGUGAUAACUGAUUCAACAAAUCUGGCAUCCCAUAUGUUUGAUGAAAAUUUUCAAACAGUUUCUGCAUUUUAAGGGAGAGUACGGUGAGCUUAUCAUGUUUGAUAAUAAUUGUCUUGCACUACCUUGUUUGCCUUCGAUUUUUAGUCGCACCCAACUUAUGGGAAGAUCUAUAUUUGAUUACUUCAAGGAAUUCGGUCAUGCUAACCUCCCAUUAUCGUUGUAUCAAUUUCCACUUGAUCAUUUCGGGUUCAGCUUUCCAUUUGAUCCUGGUUCUAGUUUGAAAGUUGGAGUCGCGCUGUGAUAAUUUGGAGCAAUGUACUGCUCAUCGGUAAAGUUGCAAGAGAACUGCCUACACCUGCUUCUAACUUGCUGAUGUUAGUAUGUAUAGCUUCCUUAAUAGCUCCAAUGAGAAUCCUCACAAUGAUAUCAAAUUGGUACUACUUGAACCUUGAGGACAAGGUUCUUAUUGGGGCUGAAGGUAUUGUUAUGAAUGGGCCUAGACCAGUAUUGACAAAGCAGCCCAAAGCCGAAUUAAAAGGGCUAUGUGUGGGAUCCGGGUUGAUAAAUAGAGACUUGGGAGAGCAAAAUAGUUUUAUGCAAAUUAUGUGAAGCUUUGGCUUUCUGAUCCUCUCAUCUCCUUUCUAUGGUCUAGAAUCUCAUCCCCUUCUAGUUACCCUCUUCUAUGUUAUCUAUCUAUAAUUAGUGUGUUGUUACUUUGUUGUGGGUAUUAUACAUUGUAACUUGUAUUCCGUAAUAACAAUAUAUAUAUCAGUGUUUGUGUUGAAAAUUGAGUUUGUUACACGGUGCCAUUGAAAUCUGCUUAAUGCUUAUGAGGUAUUCAUGAGCCGGUGACUGUGGUUGCAUCUUGCACGAAGCUUGAAAGUUCAAGGUAAGUUUUUUAGAUCAAUACUUUUUUCUCCCAAAUGCUACUUUUGAAUCAUCAUACUUAUCUAUGGAACAAUGUCAAGUCUUAUAUAUGGUAGAAAUCUAUAUAAGUUUCUUAAUAGACUCAUAAAAAACUAUCUUUAUUUUCAUGCUUUAUCAGUAGAAACUUUAUGGAUAUUUGACACACUUCUCGUUACUUUCACUUCACAGGAUAAUUUCUCCGUUGAUAUUGGAAAGUGAAUUGGAAAUAUUAUUUCCCUGUAUGUGGAAGAUCCGAAAAGGAUUCAUGAAUGAUUAAGUUUGUUGCACAUGAAUCAUGAUAAUCAGUAGAGGCUUUUUGCGUAUGUUGAAUUAAUCAUUAAAGGUCACAGACAUGAAUAAGAUUUGCGAAAAUGCAGUCUAGGAAAUGAAGUUUUUAC